rnacentral:rRNA from 1 species
AUUGAACGCUGGCGGCAGGCCUAACACAUGCAAGUCGAGCGGAUGAAUGGAGCUUGCUCCAUGAUUCAGCGGCGGACGGGUGAGUAAUGCCUAGGAAUCUGCCUGGUAGUGGGGGACAACGUUUCGAAAGGAACGCUAAUACCGCAUACGUCCUACGGGAGAAAGCAGGGGACCUUCGGGCCUUGCGCUAUCAGAUGAGCCUAGGUCGGAUUAGCUAGUUGGUGAGGUAAUGGCUCACCAAGGCGACGAUCCGUAACUGGUCUGAGAGGAUGAUCAGUCACACUGGAACUGAGACACGGUCCAGACUCCUACGGGAGGCAGCAGUGGGGAAUAUUGGACAAUGGGCGAAAGCCUGAUCCAGCCAUGCCGCGUGUGUGAAGAAGGUCUUCGGAUUGUAAAGCACUUUAAGUUGGGAGGAAGGGCAUUAACCUAAUACGUUAGUGUUUUGACGUUACCGACAGAAUAAGCACCGGCUAACUUCG